GAAUCAUUAGCUCAGUUGGUUAGAGCAGACGGCUCAUAACCGUCCGGUCGUCGGUUCGAGUCCGACAUGAUUCA
rnacentral:tRNA from 1 species